rnacentral:rRNA from 2 species
AGAAGAGGACAGUGGAACUCCAUGUGUAGCGGUGAAAUGCGUAGAUAUAUGGAAGAACACCAGUGGCGAAGGCGGCUGUCUGGUCUGUAACUGACGCUGAGGCUCGAAAGUAUGGGUAGCAAACAGGAUUAGAUACCCUGGUAGUCCAUACCGUAAACGAUGAAUGCUAAGUGUUGGAGGGUUUCCGCCCUUCAGUGCUGCAGCUAACGCAUUAAGCAUUCCGCCUGGGGAGUACGGCCGCAAGGCUGAAACUCAAAGGAAUUGACGGGGGCCCGCACAAGCGGUGGAGCAUGUGGUUUAAUUCGAAGCUACGCGAAGAACCUUACCAGGUCUUGACAUACUAUGCAAAUCUAAGAGAUUAGACGUUCCCUUCGGGGACAUGGAUACAGGUGGUGCAUGGUUGUCGUCAGCUCGUGUCGUGAGAUGUUGGGUUAAGUCCCGCAACGAGCGCAACCCUUAUUAUCAGUUGCCAGCAUUAAGUUGGGCACUCUGGUGAGACUGCCGGUGACAAACCGGAGGAAGGUGGGGAUGACGUCAAAUCAUCAUGCCCCUUAUGACCUGGGCUACACACGUGCUACAAUGGAUGGUACAACGAGUUGCGAACUCGCGAGAGUAAGCUAAUCUCUUAAAGCCAUUCUCAGUUCGGAUUGUAGGCUGCAACUCGCCUACAUGAAGUCGGAAUCGCUAGUAAUCGCGGAUCAGCAUGCCGCGGUGAAUACGUUCCCGGGCCUUGUACACACCGCCCGUCACACCAUGAGAGUUUGUAACACCCAAAGUCGGUGGGGUAACCUUUAGGAACCAGCCGCCUA